GACACGCCGACUCCAAGAAUUUUGGGUUCUUUGGUAUCUUUUUACAAGGCACGGCAAUCCACAGAAGCUCAUGUAAUCCUAAUCUUCUCCACCAUCCUUCUUCUCCAUCUUGCAACGCACGACACCAGUUGCGUCCUAAUCGCGCGGUGGCUAUUGUACACGACAUCGUUCGCUGGGACCUAAUCACGCGGUGGCUGUCGCGUUGUUGUUGACGCGGCCACCGCAGCCUCAGCCGUCUUGGCCACUUUCACGGCCAUCGCCGCUUUGGUCAUGUCUGGCACUAUGUGGUUCUUUGGCUGCCCGUAUGAAGAGAUAUGCCCUGUUUUUUAUAAAUAUUUAUUGUUUUAUCAAUAAAAUUAUUUUUUUUCAGUAUGAUAGUAUUAUUGCGAUGUUUUAUUGUUAUUGUUGAAUAGGAAUUUUCAUCGUAUAUUGUUAAUAUUUAGGUUCUCUCGGUUUCAUUGAUUACCUUGUCUAGAUGAAACUGCUUUUCCCACUAAUUUUAUCUUCUGCUCUUUCCAUUAGCCAAUUUAAUUACAUGGGUAUGGUGUUCUGAAAGGAAAUGGUUUUGGAAAAUCACUAUUAUCCUUUGCCUGUGUGAACAUGAUAAUCACUUUGAUCCCUUGUUAUAUCUCAGCAUGUUGAAAAUAUUUCUAUUUUUAAACAAUUGGAUGACAUCAUCUUCAUUAUCAUUUUAAGAGCCCAGAAAAAAAUAUGUCAUUUUCUGAGAAUAAUUAAAGCUUCUGAACUUUGUAGUGCAAACUCUAAAGUAGAGAAUGUCAGUUUAAUUCUCAAAUGAUGAUUUUGAUUCCUUAUAUUUAUACUAUUUGAUGAUCUCCUAUUUUGCAUUUCAUGUUACUUUAGUAAAAUGUAAUGGUGAGCUCUUGUUCAGUUAAGUGAUAGUAUUUCAUUUCUCCACACUGUUUAAUGCAACAUGUAACUCAUGAUUUGGAACAAAGAUGAAUCAGAAGUUUCGUUCACCUAUUAUUAAUUUGCCUCCAGGUAGAGACAAAUAUGGGUCUAAGUUCCUUUUUAUCAGUUUUUAUCUCUGUGUUUUACUUAUACUGCUAACAAUAUUGCAUAUUUAAUUGGUACUACAGUUUGAACUGGAUGCCUCUUGUAUGACAGGUCCAUGGGCACAAUUCAGUAGUUGAAAUAAUAGCAGUCCACUACAAAUUUUUAGUAAGUCUCCUCGUGGGGGUGCAAUGAGUCCUGCUGGAAAUAACCAUGUGGUUGGAUUAGCAUCUGUACUUUCCCUAAUUUUAUCAACUUCUGCUAAGAUUGCACCAAUUGGGAAGGACCAAAAAAAAGGAGGCAUUCAAUGGGAAUAAAUUGGAGAAGUUCAACAGUGAGAAGGUUGAUUCUCUAGCAUAUGCCUGAAUCCAAGGCAGAACAACAUUUGUUGACCAUUUGCAGAACUCAAGCUUGAUGAACGAGGAUAAGAGAUGUCACCCUAUUCUUUUUUAUUAUGAGAGAAAAGGGCCGGUGAUUAGGAACUCAUUCAAUUAAGCAAUAUGCAUGCUCCUUAAGAUGUGGGAAAGGUGGGGAGUCACCUGAAAAUCCAGAAGAGAGCAAUCCAAAUAGAACAUCUAGAAGGGACUCACUUGAAGUUUUCGGGAUAAUUGUUACCCGAAACUAGCUUCAAAGGAUAGUGCUUGACUAAUGCAUGGCAAACAUGAGUGUGAAUACUAACCUGUCCAUAGCUAUCCAAGUGUACGAUAUGGUGAGUGUGGGAAAUUCAGUUAGAAGUUGUAUUGAAAGGGUGCAUCCACUUUUGAAACCCGUGUGUGGUUAAUGGAAAUACGAAUUAUAUUGUAUGAUACUUUGGAUGUUAAAUUGUAUGAUACUUUUGGAUUAGAAAUUAA